rnacentral:lncRNA from 1 species
AUGAUAUAUAAAUAUACACAUAUAUAUUAUUAAAAAAAAAUAAUUCUACUUACAUAUAUUAACUAUAUUAUACAUUUCUUGCAGCUCAAGACAAUUCAUCUUCACGCAGUGCAGUCCAGGCAAGCCACAAGACUGGGAACCCAUGUUUUAGAGCUUGGCUCGCUAUUCUUGGUGACCUUGUUCAGCAAUGGUGUGCUCCUCUAAUGGCUGACUUCUGUGCUUGGCCAUGCAGAGCAAUCCCAAACAGGGCAUCAAGAGAUACUCAGCCCUGCAAAGCUGCACGUGGAGCAGAACUUGCUGCUGCUGCUUUCCAUAUGUUCCUUCCCAUGGGGCCCUGGCUGGACCUCGACCUGAGGAAGAAGCAGAAUGGAAACUUAAUGGAGAAGCGAGUCCCACCUCUCAGGUAUAUGAGGUUGCCAAACUCCUUUGUUCUAGUUCUCUCUGGUUUUAGCAUGUUUCUGUCCAUGAGGGGAUAAUAAAGGGGCAGUGUGUUCCUCCCUUGCUCUCCCUAAGCCCACAACAGUAUCUCCAAGUCCUCAACCUGAAUUUGCAGCAUUCAAAAGAGCCUUCCCCUGUUUCCUCUUCUUUUCUUAAUAUCUUUUUUCUUCUUUUUUUUUUUUUUUCAAGUCAAUUCACAUUGAUUAAUCAUUUCAUAAAUGUUUCGGGGUGGGAUUGUGAAACCUUUACUGGCAAGAAUUUUUCCCCUGGAGUCAAGGAGACUACUCAUUAGCAUGACUGCUUGCCAGCAUGAGGGAGGGAUUCGCAAUCUGGACGUUUGUAGUUUUAAAAAUAUGUCUCUAUUUAGCUGAUUUGGGCAGCUGAGCAGGGCUGGUUAUGGAAAUCAAACUAACAGGCUGUCACACUCUGUUUUACUUCAGAAAGCAUCUAUAGUGAAAUAAUGUAUUUUUACAUAACACACGCGCAUUUAAACAGUACUUCAGUAAUCUGAUCGGUGUCUUCAUUCUGACAAGCAUUCUCUGAGACCCUUUCAUCAUGGACCAAACCAAACCCUAUGUUGUUAAAUCUCCUCUCCAUAUACCUCUGAGACUACACAUAGUCUGAAUAUGUAUAUGGGCCACUACUGACAGGAAAGCCAUCGUGUGCUGAAUACACAGACCUGUCAGAAGCAGUUGGUGCUUGCAGAACGCCUGGGCUUGAGCCAGGUGGUACAGGGUUUAGUGGCUGAGGAGCUAUGUAAGGUUGUGUCUGCAGGCCAUGAAUGUGGCAUGGCUAUACCUCUUGUUCCUGCUUGCAAGAAACAGAACUCUGAGGAAAGAAGCCUGGCUCUCCGACAGAAACCCUUGUCUUUUACAAGGGCUGCUCUGAAAGUAAUGACUCCUAUUUUAUUAUAUUGGCCCAUGACAUCAGAGGCAGAUAUUGAU